UACAGAGGGUGCGAGCGUUGUCCGGAAUCACUGGGCGUAAAGGGCGCGUAGGCGGCUUGGUCAGUCAGGCGUGAAAUUCCUGGGCUUAACCUGGGGACUGCGCUUGAUACGGCCAGGCUUGAGGAUGGAAGAGGGUCGCGGAAUUCCCAGUGUAGAGGUGAAAUUCGUAGAUAUUGGGAAGAACACCGGUGGCGAAGGCGGCGACCUGGUCCAUUACUGACGCUGAGGCGCGACAGCGUGGGGAGCAAACAGG
rnacentral:rRNA from 1 species